rnacentral:lncRNA from 1 species
UGUAAUAGGGUUCUUGUGGCGAAUAAAAGGAUUCGUCAAGUUUAAUUAUUCAUUUAUUCAUACGACAUAAAUAAAUCAACCCUGAAAGUACACAAAUAACAAAACGUAAAUACAUAGACAGUACAGUGUACAAAGGGAUAUAACUCUAAAUCAUAAAACGGAAAGUACAUGUAUAAAAUACGAUAAACUAGCUCUUUUCUGUAAGAAUACAACCAAUACUAUUUAAGUGUAUAUAUUAUAAUUAUAUGAAUUCAAUCAAACUCAAUUAUAAACCAA